CCAAUUAUAGAAAUUGAACCCCAAAUUUAUUAUGCUCUAAAACCUCAUUUUACCAAUACCAAAAUAUUUAACUGAUUUGUAUGAAAAUUAAAACAAACUGAUAGGCAAAUCAGACUAUAUCUACUAUGAAUACAUGACUAAACAUCACAAGACAACCAAUUCUGCAUUUAAUGAUAUGCCACAAUACAUUAAACAUAAUGGACUAUACAUCAUUCACCUCCACCUCUAAUUUAUAAUUAUCAUAAUAGUUGUUUUAAUACAAAAUCAUGUACAAAGAAAAGCACCUAUUUCAACCAAAAUUAAAGCUAAUAUUUAGGUGUUUGAAGAAGUAUGCUGUUGUGGUACCAUGAUAGUUCCAUAAUACCAUACACUUAGCUAAUAUAGCCUAAUCGCAAAACUUAGCUAAAGGUUAAUAUUUUUAUCAAGUUCCUUACAAACAGUCCAAAACUAGCUGUAACAAUAAAAAUUUCAGAAGCAAGUAACAUUACUACAGGGACUAUACUAACUUUAACAGAUGCAUGUUAACUAAUAGCUCCCAUGUUUAGCAUACAACACAAUCAAGUAACUCCAACAAAACAACUGAAAUUAAACUAAUAGAUUUGAAUAUGAAGAAGCCACAUUUGGAACUCCGAAUUUAAUUUCAUUACAAUAUCAAACCUCAUGUGAGAUGAAUCUAGAACAAGUACCUGGAAAUUUGAAGGAAAACAAAGUAAGGAAACAACAAAGAUCAGCAAUAGGGAGUUCAAAAAGAAAAUAAACAGCAGCAGAAUUAUCUAAAGCCGAGAUUCAACAAUCAAAUAGUGAAAUCAGCCCAAUAAAUCCAAUGGAACAAUAGAGUGAUAGCAGUAAACUCAAUCCAAAGCUUUUCACAACCCAAGUUCAAUCCAUUUCAAUCUCAGGCGAGUCAGAAAUCACUUCAGAAAUUGAAAAAAAAACCCUCAAGAAUAAUAGUAGGAAUUCAAUGGAACAGUGAUUUUAGCAAAUUUUCCAUCCGUUUUUUAUUUUUCCUAAAAUUUUCUCUUGUAUAAUCUCUAAGGUCUAAUUUUUUCAAAUUUUCUCCCUAGUUCUCUGCCUUGGAAAGCAAGAUAGAGAUACCUUUAUAGGCAAGGAAAGUAGGGCAACUAGCAGAUUUCAGCUUUUGCAUUUCUGCCCUUUUUUAAUUUUUGUUUUAGCAAAAAUGUCCUUAGUUAAAAAUCAGAUUUCUAUUUAAUCCCCAACCUCAUCUUCCUAGAAGCUUUCUACAACAGUUACAAUAACAUUCCUAUACCUAAAAUACCCAAGUUACCCCCUAAUCCUUCAUUAUUUACCACCUUCUAAAAAACAAGUAUGGGUCCAAGUAAAAUUGCAUCUAGACCUAAACCAUACUAGCUACCAAAAUUUCCCCCUUCCCCACUUUUGGCUCCCCCUUUACAAAGCCCAAAUUCAAUUAAAGAAAGAGAUAGAACAAAAUUCUAAGAACUACAAUAACUCCAAGGUAGUAAGCAACGAUACUUCAAACACACACAGAAAAAUGUAAAAACAUAAGCAGAAAAGAAAAAGAAUUAUUAUGAACACAUAACGAUUUUCCAAACUGUUGAUGCUGAUUUAUAACAUAGGAAUGAAUGUUUGAAAUCUCACUACAACAAAAGAAGAAAAAGACUAAAAAUUAUAAUAGAGAGGGGAAAAAUGUUGCAGGCUCUACCGAUGGAUUGACAACUCGUAGAGAUCGCUGAAUAAGCAGGAUUCGGUAAAUGGCGAGAAUUGUAUGAUGAGCAUUAAUCGAAAUUUCUUCAACGGCUAAUGCUCCAUAUCACAAUCCUCGCCACUCAAUCUGAAAUGAUAGGAGAUAGAAACUUGAAACAUGGACUGCUUGACACAAAACCUAGCUGCCAUGGCGGACCAUGGAAUUGACUAGACAACCACCCAAUCGCACGUGAUAUCACCAUAGAGAAACAAAUAAGGGAGAUAAAUCCAGGAACGUAGAACACCUCGAAUUUCAGUAUUUUGAGAUUUGAAAUUCACCAGAAUCGGGCGACUUUCGGAGAAAAUCGAUGGUAAAUUUGGAAUGAGGAGGCAACAAGGAUUAUAUGGUCAAGAUUUGAUUGAGUUAGGAGACUCUCCGCCGCCGUGGGGUGUUUUUCGGCGGCGACUGGUGGUGUCGGACGGUGUAAGAGACGAGAGUGAUAUAAUUAGGGUCUUAAGUUAUUUGGUCGUUUGGACAUUUUUAUGUCAAGAUAAUAAAGCCUCA
rnacentral:lncRNA from 1 species